GACGAACGCUGGCGGCGUGCUUAACACAUGCAAGUCGAACGAAGUGGCGAACGGGUGAGUAAUACGUGGGUAACCUGCCCUCCUUUUUGGGAUAAGCCUUGGAAACGGGGUUUAAUACCGAAUAAGGGGGGAUGGGCUCGGGGUCUCUCGGAUUGUUGGUGGGGGGGUGGCCUACCAAGGCGGUGACGGGUAGCUGGCCUGAGAGGGUGCCCGGCCACGGAGGGACGGAGAUGCGGCCCAGACUACUACGGGAGGCAGCAGUGGGUGAUAUUGCACAAUGGGCGAAAGCCUGAUGCAGCGACGCGGCGUGGGGGAUGAAGGUUUUCGUGUUGUAAACCUCUUUCACAAUCGAACGGGUAGGUGAAGAAGAAGCGCCGGCUAACUACGUGCCAGCCGCCGCGGUAAUAC
rnacentral:rRNA from 1 species